GGAUUAGAUACCCUGGUAGUCCUAGCUGUAAACGUUGUACACUCGAUGUUGGAAGGUUCAGCCCUUUCAGUGUCUAAGCUAACGCGAUAAGUGUACCGCCUGGGGAGUACGGCCGCAAGGCUAAAACUCAAAGGAAUUGACGGGGGCCCGCACAAGCGGUGGAGCAUGUGGCUUAAUUCGAGGCAACGCGAAGAACCUUACCUGGGUUUGACAUUUAGUGACCGAUCUUUAACAGGAUCUUUCCUUCGGGACACGAAAACAGGUGCUGCAUGGCUGUCGUCAGCUCGUGCUG
rnacentral:rRNA from 1 species